rnacentral:rRNA from 1 species
AGAGUUUGAUUAUGGCUCAGGAUGAACGCUGGCGGCGUGCCUAACACAUGCAAGUCGAACGAAGCGCCCGCACGGAUUCCCUCGGGAUGAAGCGCGGAUGACUGAGUGGCGGACGGGUGAGUCACGCGUGGGCAACCUGCCCCGUGCCGGGGGACAACAGCCGGAAACGGCUGCUAAUACCGCAUGAUCCGGGAGGGCCGCAUGGCCCUGCCGGGAAAGCUCCGGCGGCACGGGAUGGGCCCGCGUCUGAUUAGUUUGUUGGCGGGGUAACGGCCCACCAAGACUGCGAUCAGCAGCCGGCCUGAGAGGGCGGCCGGCCACAUUGGGACUGAGACACGGCCCAAACUCCUGCGGGAGGCAGCAGUGGGGAAUAUUGCACAAUGGGGGAAACCCUGAUGCAACGACGCCGCGUGGGCGACGAAGCGCUCCGGCGCGUAAAGCCCUGUCAGCAGGGAAGAAAAAAGACAGUA